CUGUCCUCCACAGAAGCAUUGUCCUUGUGACCUGAGUGGCUCAGCUACCUUUGUAUGCUCUGGAGACAUUUCCAUGGAUGGGAAGGUAAAGCAAGAGGACAAGAGAACAAGUCAAGGGAAGGUUCUGGAGCACACCAAGUAGAAAGAGUUGCACAACAUGCAUUCAGUAACCACAAGCAACUAAAGCAGGAGAUAACUGAGCUGGCAACAAACCCACGGUUUCCAGUCACUAAAAUGUAUGUGAGAAAGGGGAGAUGUUGAAACACUUUGGGCCACCAUGGCAACAUGGUCCUGCUUAGCAGUUGUUUGUCCAGUCCAGGAGGAACAUCAUUGUUGCCCAUCAAAAGCCUGACCAAGCUUAAGAUGAAGGACAGAAGAGGUCAACAGGCACUUGAAGAGGGAUUCCCCAGGUUUAAUUGUUCAGCAGUUUCUAGCAAGACACUUUCAG